rnacentral:lncRNA from 1 species
GGCUUUGCAGGAGGAACUGUGUCACUGUGGGGGUGGGCUUUGAGGUCUCAUAUGCUCAGGCCCCGCCCAGUGUGGCAUUACUUCCUGCUGCCUGUGGAUCAGGAUGUAGAACUCCCAGCUACCUCUCCAGCGCCAUGUCUGCCUGUGUGCCACCCUGCUUCCCUCCGUGACGUUGAUGGACUAACCCUCUGAACUGUACGCCAGCCAGUUAAAUGUUUUCUUUUAUAAGAGUUGUCGUGGUCAUGGUGUCUCUUCACAGCAAUAAAACCUUAACUAAGACAAACCAUUAAUCUCAGGACCUGCAGUAGCCUGGGAUGCCUCAUGGUUCAAGGACAGGACAGGAUUAAGUGAACAAAGUCCCAAAAGAAAAGUCUGGAGUUUCAGAUUGCACAGACAGGAACAAAGACCGCUUGCAUCUUUUUUAGAGGACGCCUUACCUUGGUUUUCUGAAAGAACUUUUGGUGUGGCUGGCCUAGUGAGGGAGGGGUUGAGCAUUCUGAUGCCAUCGCCUGGUGAGACCAAAGUCUGGAUGUUGACAUGCCCAGCAAGCACCAGAGGAAGGCCCUACAGCUGAGCCUUCUUGCACCUGCCAGUGUCUUAUGACCCCAAAUCCCCUUUAGUUGUGCACACAUGGACACUGUUUAGCUUCCUGGAGAUCUCGUCUGCAAAGCUGCCAGGUUGAAGUGACAGAGUUUAUCUUAUCAGCAAACGCCUUCUCGAUCCCCGGAAACUGUAAUUCAGACCAUUCACACCUCCCACAGGGAGUGGCACUAUUAGGAGGUGUGGCUAUGUUGGAGUAGCUGUGGCCUUGUCAGAGGAACUGUAUCACCAUGGGGCUUUGACAUCUCAGAUGCCCAAGCAGGGCCUAGUUGUCACUGUCAUUUCUGCUGCUGGAAGAUCAAGUCUGCCUGCACACUGCCACAUCGCACCAUGGGACGACGGACUAAACCUCUGAAACUGAACAAUGCUACAUAACAGCAUCAAAGAAGAUUCCAAAAUCUGGGGCCUAAAGAACAGAGGAAAGGAACACACUAAUCACUAAGAUUUGGGACAGUCUGGGGCUGGAGAAAUGGCUGGGCAGCUUGAUGCUCUUCCAUGGGGACCCAAGCUCCCCUGUGAUCGAAGAAGCCAGAAGAACCUGUCACAACAGUUGGAGCUGCCACAGCUGCUGUGCCCCGAUGUAACAGACCAAAUCUUCUGAACAGAUUCCAAACAGAGCUACGCUGAGCUCACUCAUUUCAGAAAUGGCUGGUUGUUUUACGAUUCAGAAAGCCACAGAAUUUUCAAGAGCAGUUGCUUCCCCAUGGCACAGUACUGUCUCAAAACUCCAUUACUGAAUGCUGGUGCAGUUAUGGAACCCAUUUCUAUCUCUUAUGGGCCCUAAUGAAGUUUUAGUCAAUUGAACUUUUUCUACAAAAAUAAAAAUCUUCACACAGUUGAUUAUUUAAUUUUCCCCCGACAACAAAGCAAUAUGGGUAAUCAAUAAUUAUAGGCAGCCCCCUCAGGGGACAUGCAUAGCCACUUCCCAAUAAGGACUAGUUAUUAAACACUCAGUAGUAGCAGUACAGUUCUGUUUGUGCCUCCUGUUCUAACCUGGUUUGUUUCCCCAUAUCACAUCUCGGGCUUCUUUUGCCUACUGGAGGAAAUUGCCAUGUGAUGACACAAAUAUUUUGAAUUUUG